rnacentral:misc_RNA from 1 species
GGAAGUAAGAGUCGUAACAAGGUUUCCGUAGGUGAACCUGCGGAAGGAUCAUUAUUGUAUAACCGAGGUGCGAGGGCUGACGCUGACCCGAAAGGUCGUGCACGCCCGAGUGCCCUCACACACAUCCAUCUCACCCCUAUGUGCACCACCGCGUGGGUCCCCCUUUGGCUUGUUCGGAGGGGGGCUUACGUUUUCACACAAACUUUGUAUGCAGUGUAGAAUGUAUUUUUUGUUUUUGCGAUCACGCAAUCAAUACAACUUUCAACAACGGAUCUCUUGGCUCUC